AAUCAACGCUGGCGGCGCGCUUAACACAUGCAAGUCGCACGAGAAAGUGGAGCAAUCCAUGAGUACAGUGGCGUACGGGUGAGUAACACGUGGGUAAUCUACCUCUUAGUGGGGAAUAACUCUGGGAACCGGAGCUAAUACCGCAUAAGCCUGGAAAGGGAAAGCAGCAAUGCGCUGAGAGAGGAGCCCGCGGCCGAUUAGCUAGUUGGUAGGGUAAAAGCCACCAAGGCAAUGAUCGGUAGCCGGCCUGAGAGGCACACGGCCACACUGGCACUAGAACGACGGGCCAGACUCCGUACGGGAGGCAGC
rnacentral:rRNA from 1 species